UCACUAUAGAGACAUCAGAGAGAGUUGGAGGGAGAGAGAUAAGGGAAAAGAAAAGAGAGAGGUGAGGAGAGAAAGAGAAGUGAGGAGAGAAAGAGAGGAGGAAAGGGACAGAGAGAGGUGAGGAGAGAAAGAGAGGUGAUGAGAGAAAGAGAGGUGAGGAGAGAAAGAGAGAUGAGGAGAGAAAGAGAGGUGAUGAGAGAAAGAGAGAGGUGAGGAGAGAAAGAGAGGUGAGGAGAGAAAGAGAGAUGAGGAGAGAAAGAGAGGGGGAAAGAGACAGAGAGGUGAGGAGAGAAAGAGAGGUGAUGAGAGAAAGAGAGGUGAGGAGAGAAAGAGAGGAGGAAAGAGACAGAGAGAGGUGAGUAGAGAAAGAGAGGUGAUGAGAGAAAGAGAGAUGAGGAGAGAAAGAGAGGUCAGGAGAGAAAGAGAGGUGAGGAGAGAAAGAGAGGAAGAAAGAGACAGAGAGAGGUGAGUAGAGAAAGAGAGGUGAUGAGAGAAAGAGAGAU